rnacentral:rRNA from 1 species
GACGAACGCUGGCGGCGUGCUUAACACAUGCAAGUCGAACGGAAAGGCCCUGCUUUUGUGGGGUGCUCGAGUGGCGAACGGGUGAGUAACACGUGAGUAACCUGCCCUUGACUUUGGGAUAACUUCAGGAAACUCGGGCUAAUACCGGAUAGGAGCUCCUGCUGCAUGGUGGGGGUUGGAAAGUUUCGGCGGUUGGGGAUGGACUCGCGGCUUAUCAGCUUGUUGGUGGGGUAGUGGCUUACCAAGGCUUUGACGGGUAGCCGGCCUGAGAGGGUGACCGGCCACAUUGGGACUGAGAUACGGCCCAGACUCCUACGGGAGGCAGCAGUGGGGAAUAUUGCACAAUGGGCGGAAGCCUGAUGCAGCAACGCCGCGUGCGGGAUGACGGCCUUCGGGUUGUAAACCGCUUUCGCCUGUGACGAAGCGUGAGUGACGGUAAUGGGUAAAGAAGCACCGGCUAACUACGUG